rnacentral:tRNA from 1 species
GCCUGGGUGGCUCAGUCGGUUGAGCAUCCGACUUCGGCUCAGGUCAUGAUCUCACAGUUUGUGGGUUCAAGCCCCGCAUCAGGCU